GACGUAGGGCGCGAGCGUUGUCCGGAUUUAUUGGGCGUAAAGGGCUCGUAGGCGGCGUGUCGCGUCGGGGAGUGAAAGCCCGCUGCUUAACGGCGGGUUGGCUUCCGGUACGGGCAUCGCUGGAGUGCGGCAGGGGAGACUGGAAUUCCUGGUGUAGCGGUGGAAUGCGCAGAUAUCAGGAGGAACACCAAUGGCGAAGGCAGCUCGCUGGGACGGUACUGACGCUGAGACGCGAAAAGCGUGGGGAGCAAACAGG
rnacentral:rRNA from 1 species